rnacentral:misc_RNA from 1 species
ACGAGUUAGGGUCUCACCGGCCCGACCUCCCAACCCUUUGUCUACUUGACCAUCGUUGCUUCGGCGAGCCCGUCCUCGCGGACCGCCGGAGGGACCCUUACCGGCCCUCUGGCCCGCGCUCGUCGACGGCCCCCAACUUUAAAACCUUAACUAAACGUGUCUUGAAUCUAAGUAUUAUUGUUAAAUAAAAACAAAACUUUCAACAACGGAUCUCUUGGUUCUGGCAUCGAUGAAGAACGCAGCGAAAUGCGAUAAGUAAUGCGAAUUGCAGAAUUCCAGUGAGUCAUCGAAUCUUUGAACGCACAUUGCGCCCUUUGGUAUUCCAAAGGGCAUGCCUGUUCGAGCGUCAUUAUCACCCCUCAAGCCCCCGGCUUGGUGUUGGACGGCUUGGUGGAGACCCCCUCGCGGGCGUCCCACCCCUCCCAAAGACAAUGACGGCGGCCUCGUUGGACCCCCGGUACACUGAGUUCUUCACGGGACACGUAUCGGACACACGGGUUUACGGGCCACGGUCUGCCUCCCCUCAGGGAGAAUCUUAUCAAG